AUUGAACGCUGGCGGCAGGCCUAAUACAUGCAAGUCGAACGAGUGGCGGACGGGUGAGUAAUGUCUGGGAAACUGCUCGAUGGAGGGGGAUAACUAUUGGAAACGGUUGCUAAUACCGCAUACCAUCGGAUGUGCCCUGUUGGGAUUUGCUUGUAGGUUAGGUAACGGCCCACCUAGGCGACGAUCCCUAGCCGGUCUGAGAGGUUGACCAGCCAGACUGGAACUGGUACACGGUCCAGACUCCUACGGUAGGCAGCAGUGGGGAAUAUUGCACAAUGGGCGCAAGCCUGAUGCAGCCAUGCCGCGUGUAUGAAGAAGGGCUUCGGGUUGUAAAGUACUUUCAGCGGGGAGGCGUUACCCGCAGAAGAAGCACCGGCUAACUCCGUGCCAGCAGCCGCGGUAAUUC
rnacentral:rRNA from 1 species